AAUAUUCGUUCCCAUUUCGUAUUCCCUAAAUUGUUGCAUAGUGUAGCCGUUAGGACUAUACUGGUGAAAAUCUUGUUUUAUUUAUUUAUUUUCAACAAAUUAAUUAUCUCGCGCUAUUGCAGGUUGUGCAAGCUUGAUGCGAACGUGAAUACAUAUUACUAUGAACGUUGACUGAUUUUAACAGUGGAGUGGUUUAAGCCGGAGGUUGGCCCGUAUAGCGUAGACCAGAAACUGCGCUUGGCUAUGACGUCACCGCACGUUGCCUAGCAACCACUUGGCAGAGCUGCACCUCACUUCACCGCCGCUCCGCACCACCGCACACCUGCUCCGUCUAACCAUAACGCCACUUUACGUCGCCUAGCAACCACUUAUGCCUCACUUCACCUAGACAUGUCAACGCUUCGCCAGGCCGCGUCUUGAAGCGGGUCGUGCGGCCAAGCGAGAAUCUGCGCGUCGGAGGCGAGCCGAUCCGGAAUACCGUGCAGUAGCUGCAGCCGAGAAGAGGCGUCGUCGAGUCGAAGAUCCCUAGUUUCAAGAACGAGAAAGCGAGAGUCUGCGUUUGAGUAUCCAGCGUCGUCGGGAUAGCGCCCCUGGCUGUGGCUUGGUCGAUCACAAGCUCCGCUGUUUGCUUCAACCUUGCACCACUAGUGCAAGCUGCGCUCAUUUUUUUUUCUUAUCGCAAAAGCACGAAGCAAUGAUACUUUCUUCCACCGUUUUUAAGUAUUUAUUUAUUUAUUUAUUGUAAAUGUGUAUAACUCAAUACCUUUUAUUGCAGGCUAGAAGGAUAUGGGGAACUAUUUUAUUAUACAGGCUCACACAAAAUGCACGCAAUAAAACCUUGAAAAUAAGAAAGCUUUUAUAUACUAAAAAUAAAGCGUGGACUUCUAUACAUACUGCAUUGUGUCCCAGAUAUGAACAGUGAAACACUACGUAGGAACUUGACAAUUAUUAUUUAGGACAAUUUAGCACACAGCAACUUACCGUAGAAAGACUGUAAAAACAAGAACAAAAAUAAUUCUAGCUAUAAGGACAGGUUAACCACUUUUUUUUUUCAAAGGGUAGGCAUACAGGAACGCAGACGAGGACGUAACUGUGAACGUUAUCUUGCAGUCACGUAUUUCAGGCAUGGUAACUGUAGUCUUAAAGCUUACAAAUAGUUUUUCGGCGGACGGCUUGUCCACAGCCUCGUUGGGGAAGGAUCUUUCAUUCUCUGACUCUAAUGAAAAACAAACGAAUACCCGAAGGCAUCGCAAGAAAAUCUGCAGCCUUAUUGUGUCCAGUACGAUUAGCGGGAGCAGUAGACGAUCAUAAAUAGCGACAGUUGUCAACUGCUAAGGCAUUUUCUGAAGCUAGAACGCUAAACCUUACGGUCAAGUUUCUUACACAUUGUCUGAUUGUAGGUAAGCUUUUUUCAUCCUCCCAUUUCUGAAGCGCCUAAAGUUAGCUUUUUUUUAAUAAUACAAAAUUACAGCGUCCCUCUUCUCGCGGCACCUAGAACUUGUCUUCUAUAUUUAAAUAAAUAAACCUUCUUCACUUCCUAUUAUUGGCAAAAGCUUUGAAGUGCUUUCGAUCUUCCUUUGUUCUAUUCAGCCUUCAGUUUUCCAUUUAACCUUGUCUUCCGAAUAGCGGCCUAUCGUAUAUUUGCUCGGCACGAAGCCAAUGUAUUGUCAUUUUGCAAUAUAAAUGCGGUGCAACGGAAGUGACCAACCUGCUGCGGAAAACUUGGCAUGACUCGGUUACAAAAUAUUUUGACAGAGCUUCUCGACUGAACAACAACCAAUACAGCGUACAAUGACGGCAAAGCGCUUGGCUCUUUGCUUUCUCGUACUUACAUUUCUGCCAGCAGCACUAUCAGCCUAUGUGAAGGGGAAGAAUGGCAGAAGCAAUAUCGUUGCCAAUAGAAUGCUACCCACAUUGCGUUGAAGGUCUCCAAGCAGCAUGUUUUAUAACUAACAACAAUCAAUGUCAGUGCGACUGCGUGACCGCAAAUUGUAACGCCUGCGCCAUUGUGCGACAGAAACACCGGUGUUCCGGAAAUGAGAUUCACCUUUGCAAUAAUAGGAAUGGGCUGUGCGAGUGCGGAUGUGUGCCUGUGGGAUUAUGGUGACAGCAGACGCUGACGACAAAACAGGUUGUGCAGGUUGUGCUUAGGCGGCCUAUUUCUUGCGCACUUAGUGGAUAUCUCUGGGGUGGAUAUACACGUAAUAAACAUUUCAUAA